AGGGCUUCCUGUUCAACAAAGGAAACAAAAUAAAUUUCUCUGUAUACUGCGAACUUUGCAAGAAAGACAAAGAAAGGUAUGUCGGGAAGAAAAUUUUCAGCUGACAAAGAAAAAAAGAGAGCACGAAUCUGCACACAUAUAUACACCAUGCCUUUCUUGGGCAUGUUCAGCUGUGCUCUUUCUAUCGUCUGUCAACAAAAAGCUUCAACUGUUAAUUAACCAGAUCAAAAGCUAUGCCUUUGCCUGCAUGUUUGAAACCCCAUGCAUGCACAUAUCCCUCGCUCGCUUUAACUCUCCAUCUCCUAAUAUGUCUCACCAUAUUUACCAUACAAAACACAAGCCAAUGAUAGGGAGAUGGUGGGGUGUGUUCGUUUACAUCAAGUUAAUAGGGAGAUGGCUGAAGGAGUUAAGUUGUUGAAAGAAUAAGGGUGAGGUUAUGUUGAAUGGGAAAGAUAAAAAGCCAUGGUUGAGACAAGUGGCCGAAUUGAUAAGAAUAAUAAUCCUUUUCUGUAUCAAUGUCACAUUGAUUGAUUG
rnacentral:misc_RNA from 1 species